rnacentral:rRNA from 1 species
AGUCGAACGGCAGCGCGGGGCAACCUGGCGGCGAGUGGCGAACGGGUGAGUAAUAUAUCGGAACGUACCCAAGAGUGGGGGAUAACGUAGCGAAAGUUACGCUAAUACCGCAUACGAUCUAAGGAUGAAAGCAGGGGAUCUUCGGACCUUGUGCUCCUGGAGCGGCCGAUAUCUGAUUAGCUAGUUGGUGAGGUAAAGGCUCACCAAGGCCACGAUCAGUAGCUGGUCUGAGAGGACGACCAGCCACACUGGAACUGAGACACGGUCCAGACUCCUACGGGAGGCAGCAGUGGGGAAUUUUGGACAAUGGGCGAAAGCCUGAUCCAGCAAUGCCGCGUGAGUGAAGAAGGCCUUCGGGUUGUAAAGCUCUUUUGUCAGGGAAGAAACGGUGGGGGCUAAUAUCCCUCGCUAAUGACGGUACCUGAAGAAUAAGCACCGGCUAACUACGUGCCAGCAGCCGCGGUAAUACGUAGGGUGCAAGCGUUAAUCGGAAUUACUGGGCGUAAAGCGUGCGCAGGCGGUUUUGUAAGUCUGACGUGAAAUCCCCGGGCUCAACCUGGGAAUUGCGUUGGAGACUGCAAGGCUAGAAUCUGGCAGAGGGGGGUAGAAUUCCACGUGUAGCAGUGAAAUGCGUAGAGAUGUGGAGGAACACCGAUGGCGAAGGCAGCCCCCUGGGUCAAGAUUGACGCUCAUGCACGAAAGCGUGGGGAGCAAACAGGAUUAGAUACCCUGGUAGUCCACGCCCUAAACGAUGUCUACUAGUUGUCGGGUUUUAAUUAACUUGGUAACGCAGCUAACGCGUGAAGUAGACCGCCUGGGGAGUACGGUCGCAAGAUUAAAACUCAAAGGAAUUGAC